rnacentral:rRNA from 1 species
AAGAUGGCGACCGGCGCACGGGUGAGUAACACGUAUCCAACCUGCCGAUAACUCCGGAAUAGCCUUUCGAAAGAAAGAUUAAUACCGGAUGGCAUACGAAUAUCGCAUGAUAUUUUUAUUAAAGAAUUUCGGUUAUCGAUGGGGAUGCGUUCCAUUAGUUUGUUGGCGGGGUAACGGCCCACCAAGACUACGAUGGAUAGGGGUUCUGAGAGGAAGGUCCCCCACAUUGGAACUGAGACACGGUCCAAACUCCUACGGGAGGCAGCAUG